UACGAAGGGGGCUAGCGUUGUUCGGAUUUACUGGGCGUAAAGCGCACGUAGGCGGAUAUUUAAGUCAGGGGUGAAAUCCCGGGGCUCAACCCCGGAACUGCCUUUGAUACUGGGUAUCUUUGAGUCCGGAAGAGGUGAGUGGAAUUCCGAGUGUAGAGGUGAAAUUCGUAGAUAUUCGGAGGAACACCAGUGGCGAAGGCGGCUCACUGGGUCAUUACUGACGCUGAGGCACGGAAAGCGUGGGGAGCAAACAGG
rnacentral:rRNA from 1 species